rnacentral:rRNA from 1 species
CAAUAGCGUAUAUUAAAGUUGUUGCAGUUAAAAAGCUCGUAGUUGGAUUUCUGGUGGGAGCGAUCGGUCCGGCGCUUAGCGCGAGUACUUGCAUCGUCUCCGGCCAUCCUUGGGGAGAGUCUGUCUGGCAUUAGGUUGUCGGGCAGAGGAUCCUCAUCGUUUACUGUGAAAAAAUUAGAGUGUUCAAAGCAGGCUUAUGCCGUUGAAUAUAUUAGCAUGGAAUAAUAAGAUAGGACUUUGGUACUAUUUUGUUGGUUUGCGCACCAAAGUAAUGAUUAAUAGGGACAGCUGGGGGUAUUCAUAUUCCGUUGUCAGAGGUGAAAUUCUUGGAUUUACGGAAGACGAACUACUGCGAAAGCAUUUACCAAGGAUGUUUUCAUUAA